rnacentral:rRNA from 1 species
UACGGAGGGUGCAAACGUUGCUCGGAAUCAUUGGGCGUAAAGCGCGUGUAGGCGGCUCGUUAAGUUGAGUGUGAAAGCCCUGGGCUUAACCCAGGAAGUGCGCUCAAAACUGGCGAGCUAGAGUACGGGAGAGGGCAGUGGAAUUCCCGGUGUAGAGGUGAAAUUCGUAGAUAUCGGGAGGAACACCAGUGGCGAAGGCGGCUGCCUGGACCGAUACUGACGCUGAGACGCGAAAGCGUGGGUAG